UACGUAGGCAGCAAGCGUUGUUCGGAGUUACUGGGCGUAAAGGGUGUGUAGGCGGUUGGAUAAGUGUGGUGUGAAAUCUCCCGGCUUAACUGGGAGGGUGCGCUACAAACUGUCUGACUAGAGUGUGGGAUGGGUAAGUGGAAUUCCCAGUGUAGAGGUGAAAUUCGUAGAUAUUGGGAAGAACACCGGUGGCGAAGGCGGCUCUCUGGACCGAGACUGACGCUGAGGCGCGAAAGCGUGGGGGAGCAAACAGG
rnacentral:rRNA from 1 species